rnacentral:rRNA from 1 species
GUCGAACGCUUCUUUUUCCACCGGAGCUUGCUCCACCGGAAAAAGAGGAGUGGCGAACGGGUGAGUAACACGUGGGUAACCUGCCCAUCAGAAGGGGAUAACACUUGGAAACAGGUGCUAAUACCGUAUAACAAUCGAAACCGCAUGGUUUUGAUUUGAAAGGCGCUUUCGGGUGUCGCUGAUGGAUGGACCCGCGGUGCAUUAGCUAGUUGGUGAGGUAACGGCUCACCAAGGCGACGAUGCAUAGCCGACCUGAGAGGGUGAUCGGCCACAUUGGGACUGAGACACGGCCCAAACUCCUACGGGAGGCAGCAGUAGGGAAUCUUCGGCAAUGGACGAAAGUCUGACCGAGCAACGCCGCGUGAGUGAAGAAGGUUUUCGGAUCGUAAAACUCUGUUGUUAGAGAAGAACAAGGAUGAGAGUAACUGUUCAUCCCUUGACGGUAUCUAACCAGAAAGCCACGGCUAACUACGUGCCAGCAGCCGCGGUAAUACGUAGGUGGCAAGCGUUGUCCGGAUUUAUUGGGCGUAAAGCGAGCGCAGGCGGUUUCUUAAGUCUGAUGUGAAAGCCCCCGGCUCAACCGGGGAGGGUCAUUGGAAACUGGGAGACUUGAGUGCAGAAGAGGAGAGUGGAAUUCCAUGUGUAGCGGUGAAAUGCGUAGAUAUAUGGAGGAACACCAGUGGCGAAGGCGGCUCUCUGGUCUGUAACUGACGCUGAGGCUCGAAAGCGUGGGGAGCAAACAGGAUUAGAUACCCUGGUAGUCCACGCCGUAAACGAUGAGUGCUAAGUGUUGGAGGGUUUCCGCCCUUCAGUGCUGCAGCUAACGCAUUAAGCACUCCGCCUGGGGAGUACGACCGCAAGGUUGAAACUCAAGGAAUUGACGGGGGCCCGCACAAGCGGUGGAGCAUGUGGUUUAUUCGAAGCAACGCGAAGAACCUUACCAGGUCUUGACAUCCUUUGACCACUCUAGAGAUAGAGCUUCCCCUUCGGGGGCAAAGUG